rnacentral:rRNA from 1 species
UACGGAGGGAGCUAGCGUUGUUCGGAAUUACUGGGCGUAAAGCGCACGUAGGCGGCUUUGUAAGUUAGAGGUGAAAGCCCGGGGCUCAACCCCGGAAUUGCCUUUAAGACUGCAUCGCUUGAAUCCGGGAGAGGUGAGUGGAAUUCCGAGUGUAGAGGUGAAAUUCGUAGAUAUUCGGAAGAACACCAGUGGCGAAGGCGGCUCACUGGACCGGCAUUGACGCUGAGGUGCGAAAGCGUGGGGAGCAAACAGGGAUUAGAACCUACCGUAGUC